AGCAGCCGCGGUAAUUCCAGCUCCAAUAGCGUAUAUUAAAGUUGUUGCAGUUAAAAAGCUCGUAGUUGAAUUUCGGGAUCAAUACGUCGGUCGUGCUUCGGUACGUACUGGCGUCAUUGAUUUCUCCCUUCUGACGAACCAUGAUGUCAUUAACUUGGUGUCUUGGGAAAUCAGGACUGUUACUUUGAAAAAAUUAGAGUGUUUAAAGCAGGCUCACGCUUGAAUACAUUAGCAUGGAAUAAUGAAAUAGGACGUUCGAUCCUAUUUUGUUGGUUUUAGGAUCAACGUAAUGAUUAAUAGGGAUAGUUGGGGGCAUUAGUAUUCAAUUGUCAGAGGUGAAAUUCUUGGAUUUAUUGAAGACUAACUACUGCGAAAGCAUUUGCCAAGGAUGUUUUCAUUAAUCAAGAACGAAAGUUAGGGGAUCGAAGACGAUCAGAUACCGUCGUAGUCUUAACCAUAAACUAUGCCGACUAGGGAUCGGAUGAUGUUAAUUUUUUAAUGACUC
rnacentral:rRNA from 1 species